rnacentral:rRNA from 1 species
UACAGAGGGUGCAAGCGUUAAUCGGAGUUACUGGGCGUAAAGGGCGCGUAGGUGGUUGUGUAAGUUGGAUGUGAAAUCCCUGGGCUUAACCUAGGAACUGCAUACAAUACUGCACGGCUAGAGUACUGUAGAGGGUAGUGGAAUUUCCGGUGUAGCGGUGAAAUGCGUAGAGAUCGGAAGGAACACCAGUGGCGAAGGCGGCUACCUGGACAGAGUACUGACACUGAGGCGCGAGAGCGUGGGGAGCAAACAGGG